rnacentral:tRNA from 1 species
GGUCGGUUAGCUCAGUCAGUUGAGUGUGGUACUAACAACACCAAGGUCACAGGUUCGAUUCCCGUUUGGGCCC